ensembl:processed_transcript 4931431B13Rik RIKEN cDNA 4931431B13 gene
AGAGCAUGGCGUCCUUAUAGGAAGGGAUUCUGGAGAGGGAACUGCUACAGGCUGUGUACCUGUGCUGGGCUCCUCAGAGUCACAUCCCACACGGCCACACCAUUCAGAAGGAUGGGGACCCAGAAGUUAACACUGAUGGCCAGCUUCAAUGGACUCAGGUUGUUCACCUGCAGGAAUGGAGACCAGCUUCUCACACGAUAUCGAUGUUCGGCCUCUUUCCGUCUCUCCCCGUGGGAAGAUGAGAAGUUGAAAUGCUUGGUAGAAUCUUCCUGCCUGGAGAGAAUGGCAUGUUAGUGAAAAACCGCUCUGACGCCAUCUCUGUUUGAAUCCCAGCUCGAUGUACAGUACUGGGUCCAGCAGCUGAUGCAGGAAAACAACGAUGGUCUUCAAAUGCAUCUGCAGCCUCGGUGCCAGGUUCCACUCCUCUCCCCACAGAGCCUUGCCAGGCACCGGAGUUACCAGCUCUUCCCUUGAUGCAUUGACUUCUUUAUGCCGCCAAAGAUCUGUUCCAGCUCUUUCUUUGGCAGGAAAUGUUCUUAACCAAGUUCCAGGGAUUUUCACUCAGAGACCCAGCAGCUGCACAUUCCUUGUACUGAUUGAUCACCAUUUCCUGGUGGUGAGAAAGCACUUGUAUCCCCCCUUUAGCUGGUAGUCCAGCAGAUGGGAGGUGGCCUCAGGAACGCCUACAAAGUCUUCUGCCAGAAUAAAUAAGCCUAUGGGACUCUACAAAGGGAAGGCUAGAUUACUUGGAACAAAUAGAGUGACCUUGUCUCUGGUGGCAGGCAUGAAAGCAGAUAUAGUCGUGUUGGGGCAGGCAAAAACAUAUAGAAGGAGUUGGCCCAGGAACUCAAGCCAAGAGGGUCCCUAAAUGCCGACAGGUUCCUAUCUACUGGUUCCUCCUUUUCUUUCUUUUUGUAUUUGUGAGAUAGGCUCAAGUCAUAGCCUAGACCCGCCUUAAACCCACAGUGAUCUUCCUACACCUGCCUUCCAGAUGCAAAGAUUAUGACACAUCUGGCUUACCCAUGGCUUUCAGUAGACAUUUGCUAUGUUACAAAAGAUGGUAGGGAGGGGCACAGGAGGAAUAGGAGGGGAGAGAGAGUGAGGGAGUAGGUUGUGUAAAUAUAUUACUCAUGUAUAAAAUUAUCAAGAAUAAAAAUGCAAAUUAAAUAGCA